AUGAUUUGGCGAGCUAAUGCAUUGGUUUGUCGAAAACAGGUAUUAGCGGAGGAAAUUUGAAUUUUUUUAUAGAUGAAGAAUUUUGUUUCCUUCUUCCUGUAUUAAAUUUCUACAUGAAUGAGUCCCGGUGUGGAGAUGGUUUCAUUUCUCAAGCCCAAUUUCAAUUGAUAACUAAUAACCCACCCACUUAACUAUUAAACCAAUUAACCCAAACCUAACUAAUAACCAAUAACCCAACCCCUUAAUUAAUAACCCAAUUAAUUGAAUUAAUAACCCAGCCAAACCCAUAAUUCAUUACAAUCGACCGAACGUUGUGGAAGACGGCGACUGGGUUGGUGGCUGGCUCGACGAGGGACUGGGUUAGAAGACGGUGACUGAGUUGGUGGACGGCGAUUACUGGAGCAGCCGGCAGUUUGCUGGCGGCUGUUGGCGGCGGCGAGGCUGAGUUCCGUUCCGGGCAGGUUGCUGGAAGAUGGCGGCUGAAUUUUUCUUGUUUUAGUUUUGCUGCAACAGAUUCUGGGAUUGUUGCUGUCGGUAAAUUUUCAGUUUGUGAGUUGGGAAGGUGGAAGCGGUGGAGGAGAAACUGAAUAAUUCAUUUAUAGGCGAAGGCGGCUAGUGAUUGUCUGGCUGGUUGUUCGGCUUCUGCUGGUCGUGGGGUGUGAUAUGAAAAAGCCUUUGUUUCAAUUGUUGGCUGUAUUACCGGUAAGGUGAUUGUCUGUCGAGGGCGGGGCUGGGGUCUGCAGCAAACUGAGUAUUGGCUGCAGUAACGGGUCCUGUAUUGAUGCUGUGUGAAUUGCUGUCCAGGGUUUGCUCUGAUACCAAUUUGAUGUAGUAUCAAUUAACAGAGAAAGAAGGAGGGGAGGGAAGAGGAGAACACGCUGUCUCGAAGCAAAUGUAUACCAAAGAGAAUUAAUUCAUCCUGUAAAAAUGUUGAAAAUUAUCUUUUGAUUAAUUUGUAAAUUGAAAAAUGAAAAUGGUAGCACUUUUGCAUGGUUCUCGAACGUUGUAUGCAAGAGAGAAUUUACUAUUCAGUAUUAAGAAUGACAUGACAUGACAUGACAUAUGGUGCUAUUGAGAAUUCUCGUGGCUGUUCCAUCUUUUUGGUUGCAUAGAACAACCAUCGUAUAUUGCUACUGCUGUCUCGAAGCAAAUGUAUACCAAAGAGAAUUAAUUCAUCCUGUAAAAAUGUUGAAAAUUAUCUUUUGAUUAAUUUGUAAAUUAAAAAAUGAAAAUGGUAGCACUUUUGCAUGGUUCUCGAACGUUGUAUGCAAGAGAGAAUUUACUAUUCAGUAUUAAGAAUGACAUGACAUAUGGUGCUAUUGAGAAUUCUCGUGGCUGUUCCAUCUUUUUGGUUGCAUAGAACAACCAUCGUAUAUUGCUACUCUCAUCUUUGUCAAGGACAUACACUACGGAAUUACUUAGUUUUAAUUCAAGGAUAUGGGAUUAGAUGAGUAUGUUUCAUCAAACUGCUUAUGUAAAUUAGAC
rnacentral:lncRNA from 1 species